rnacentral:rRNA from 1 species
GACGAACGCUGGCGGCGUGCUUAACACAUGCAAGUCGAACGGAAAGGCCCUGCUUGCAGGGUACUCGAGUGGCGAACGGGUGAGUAACACGUGGGUGAUCUGCCCUGCACUUCGGGAUAAGCCUGGGAAACUGGGUCUAAUACCGGAUAGGAGCCAUUUUUAGUGUGAUGGUUGGAAAGUUUUUUCGGUGUAGGAUGAGCUCGCGGCCUAUCAGCUUGUUGGUGGGGUAAUGGCCUACCAAGGCGGCGACGGGUAGCCGGCCUGAGAGGGUGGACGGCCACAUUGGGCCUGGGAACGGGCCAAGCUCCUACCGGGAGGAAGAGGUGGGGAUUAUUGCACAAUGGGGGAAAGCUGAAUGAAGCACGCCCGCGUGGGGAUGACGGCCUUCGGGUUGUAAACUCCUUUCGCUAGGGACGAAGCUUUUUGUGACGGUACCUAGAUAAGAAGCACCGGCUAACUACGUG